AACUGAUACUACCUGCGGGAACCUGCGGAGGGAUCAUUGUUGAAUAACACAUGAUGGGUUGUCGCUGGCCUUUCGAGGCAUGUGCACACUUGUCUUGUUUUCAUUCAUCCACCUGUGCACUCUGUGUAGUCUUUGAGGUCUGGAAUCAGCCAGCCAUCAGUCAGUUGACUGGAAUAGUGAGCUGCAUGUGUAUCAGUACACAGCUUUUCUACGAUUUGUUGGUUGUGACUUCCCUCAAAG
rnacentral:misc_RNA from 1 species